GAGAAAUAGCUACCACUUCUACGGAGGGCAGCAGGCGCGCAAAUUGCCCAAUGUCAAAAAAAACGAUGAGGCAGCGAAAAGAAAUAGAGCCGGCAGUGCCAAUGGCAUUGCCGUUUUCAAUGGGGGAUAUCUAAACCCAUCCAAAAUCGAGUAUCAAUUGGAGGACAAGUCUGGUGCCAGCACCCGCGGUAAUUCCAGCUCCAAAAGCGUAUAUUAAUGCUGUUGCUGUUAAAGGGUUCG
rnacentral:rRNA from 1 species